rnacentral:rRNA from 1 species
CACGGGGGGGAGCAAGCGUUGUCCGGAAUCAUUGGGCGUAAAGCGCGUGUAGGCGGUUCGGUAAGUCCGCUGUGAAAGUCGGGGGCUCAACCCUCGGAUGCCGGUGGAUACUGUCGGACUAGAGUACGGAAGAGGCGAGUGGAAUUCCUGGUGUAGCGGUGAAAUGCGCAGAUAUCAGGAGGAACACCGAUGGCGAAGGCGGUCUCUGGGCAUUAACUGACGCUGAGGAGCGAAAGCAUGGGGAGCGAACAGG